rnacentral:rRNA from 1 species
UUAGAAGCAGCCAUCAUUUAAAGAAAGCGUAAUAGCUCACUGGUCGAGUCGGCCUGCGCGGAAGAUGUAACGGGGCUAAACCAUGCACCGAAGCUGCGGCAGCGAACGUAUCACCCAAGACAACUUUGCGGAGUUGACGAUUGACGGAGCGAAGCGACGUCAAAGCGUUCAUUAAAGUCGAGUUGGCUUAGGGAUACGUUCGUUGGGUAGGGGAGCGUUCUGUAAGCCUGUGAAGGUGGCCUGUGAGGGUUGCUG